CAUCUCUCAGGGUCACACCUGGAGAGUUUCCAAUACUCUUCUGGUCUCGACUAUGGGAGGGAGAGUCAAGCAGAUACCUACCCCUUCCAUUCCUAGCUUGGGCAGUAGCUAGCGAGUGGAAGGCAAACUGCUACAAGU